rnacentral:rRNA from 1 species
CGAAGGUGGCAAGCGUUACUCGGAAUUACUAGGCGUAAAGGGCAGGUAGGUGGUUUGGUUAGUCUGUUGUGAAAGCUCCCGGCUUAACUGGGAGAGGUCAACGGAUACUGCCAAACUUGAGUAUAGGAGAGGUUACUGGAAUUCCCGGUGUAGCGGUGAAAUGCGCAGAGAUCGGGAGGAACACCAAUGGCGAAAGCAGGUAACUGGACUAUUACUGACACUCAGCUGCGAAAGCUAGGGGAGCAAACAGGAUUAGAUACCCUGGUAGUCCUAGCUGUAAACGAUGCACAUUAGACGUGAGGGGUAUCGACCCCCUUCGUGUCGACGCUAACGCAUUAAAUGUGCCGCCUGGGGAGUACGGCCGCAAGGUUG